rnacentral:rRNA from 1 species
CAAUAGCGUAUAUUAAAGUUGUUGCGGUUAAAAAGCUCGUAGUUGGAUUUCUGUUAGGGACGACCGGUCCGCACUAUGUGCGUGUAUCUGGCUCGGCCUUGGCAUCCUCCUGGGGAACGGUGCUGCGCUUGAUUGCGUGGUCCGGUAUUCAGGACUUUUACUUUGAGGAAAUUAGAGUGUUUACGGCAGGCAAUCGCCUUGAAUAUAUUAGCAUGGAAUAAUACUAUAGGAUUUCGCACCUAUUUUGUUGGUUUCUAGGCGUGAAAUAAUGAUUAAUAGGGACAAUUGGGGGCAUUCGUAUCAACACGUCAGAGGUGGAAUUCUUGGAUUGUGUUGCGACGAACUACUGCGAAAGCAUUUGCCAAGGAUGUUUUCAUUGAUCAAGAACGAAAGUAAGGGGAUCGAAGACGAUUAGAUACCAU